rnacentral:rRNA from 1 species
AACGAACGCUGGCGGCGUGCCUAAAACAUGCAAGUCGAACGAGAAAGUGGGCAACCAUGAGUAUAGUGGCGCACGGGUGAGUAACACGUGGAUAACCUACCUUUAGAACUGGGAUAACAUUCCGAAAGGAAUGCUAAUACCGGAUGAUGUUUAAGAUUCAUUGGGGUUUUUAAAUGAAAACGGGCCUAUGUUUACAAGCUACGGUCUAAAGAGGGGUCUGCGUCCCAUUAGUUAGUUGGUGAGGUAAAAGCUUAUCCAAGACGAGGAUGGGUAGCUGGUCUGAGAGGACGACCAGCCACAUUGGAACUGAAACACGGUCCAAACUCCUACGGGAGGCAGCAGUUGGGAAUAUUGCGCAAUGGAGGAAACUCUGACGCAGCGACGCCGCGUGAGCGAAGAAGGCCUUCGGGUUGUAAAGCUCUGUCAACAGGGAAGAAUGUCAUAUAUGUGAACAACAUGCAUGGUUGACUGUACCUGUGGAGGAAGCACCGGCUAACUCUGUGCCAGCAGCCGCGGUAA